AAGAAAAUCAAGCAACAAAUGAGAACAUCCUGCGGUUGGAAAAUCACAGGUGUGUCUGCAACCCUCCAGAGGAGACAGAGUGAUUCAAAGGCCCUCAGUCUGCGGUGGAAAACAGAGAACCAGACUUCAGGUGUAAACUGGAGAGAACUUUGCUGCCAGCGAGACAUCCUUUGAGGUGGCUGCAGCUCAAAAGGGUUGAAAUGAGAAGAGCCAGAGUUUGACUAGAAGCUGAGAAAAAGACCAACUCAGGUGUCUCCUACUCCUCCUACUGAAGGGCCAGCUGUGUGAGAAGCCACUGAAGAGUGUCUCUCCAUGGCCUUGUAACUCUUGAGUCCUCUAUUUUUUUCCUUCAUGCCUCUGACUAAGGUAUGUGACAGCUGGGUUUUUUUCAUAUGUGCAGAACAGACUUGUGAAAUAAGUGGUAUCCAUAAGGUUAAGAAAGUGUCUGUCUGUCUUUGGGUGCUCUACUCAGAGUUCCCCGAGCUCUUCAGGCACCCUGAGCACCAUCACGUGGAUAUUUUUUGGGAGAGUUCUUGAAAGAGAAACCA